AUGCUGACGAGUCCCAAAAUGGGACGAAACGUGCGUCCUGGAU
rnacentral:hammerhead_ribozyme from 1 species